rnacentral:rRNA from 1 species
AUUGAACGCUGGCGGAAUGCUUUACACAUGCAAGUCGGACGGCAGCACGGACUUCGGUCUGGUGGCGAGUGGCGAACGGGUGAGUAAUGUAUCGGAGCGUGCCCAGUCGUGGGGGAUAACGUAGUGAAAAUUACGCUAAUACCGCAUACGAUCUAUGGAUGAAAGCGGGGGAUCGCAAGACCUCGCGCGAUUGGAGCGGCCGAUAUCAGAUUAGGUAGUUGGUGGGGUAAAGGCCCACCAAGCCAACGAUCUGUAGCUGGUCUGAGAGGACGACCAGCCACACUGGAACUGAGACACGGUCCAGACUCCUACGGGAGGCAGCGGUGGGGAAUUUUGGACAAUGGGCGAAAGCCUGAUCCAGCCAUUCCGCGUGCAGGAUGAAGGCCCUCGGGUUGUAAACUGCUUUUGUACAGAACGAAAAGGUUUCUACUAAUACUAGGAGCUCAUGACGGUACUGUAAGAAUAAGCACCGGCUAACUACGUGCCAGCCGCCGCGGUAA